rnacentral:lncRNA from 1 species
ACCAAUCCAAUUCCUCAAUCAAUUCUAAAAAUGACUUGCCUCCAUAAGACUUCUGUCUCAGGAAUAAUGGAGGUCCCUCUCAGUUUUUGUGUUACAAGUUUCUUGUUGCUCAAUCCAUGUCUUUCCGCUCUUCUUUCUUUAUUUGAAAUCUCGUCGUCGAAAACCUCAAAAGAGCUCGACACGAAAUAGGGUAGGCCAUGUCGUAGGGGGCCGAACCCUAGAUUUGUGCCUCCUUCGGUUCUCUUCGUUUGUCUUGGCUUUUCUUGAUCAACUUUCAUUUUUUUCUCUUGAUUAUUGACCAUGUGAGAAGUUUCUCUUGUCCUUGAAGCUUUAAAGACAACCACUUCUAAAGCAUCAUAAAUUUCUUAGCUUUUUUCGGUGGUUUGGGCUCGUUAUUCCAACAUUGCACUACUUAAAACUUGUUCAAUAUAAUUUUCUGGAAAAUGAAGUUGUGCGCCCCCUAGGAGACCAACCGCUAGGGUGGUUGAACCCUUGGGUGCCUAGGGGGCCCUUAGCUUCUUUGUUCC